UACAGUGUGGCCCUGUGGUGGUGCCGAAUGAUACACUGGAGGUACCGGUUUGUAUUGUGGUGGUAUUAGAUGACGAGGUGGAGGCACCAGAUUGUACUGUGGUGGUGCCCGAUGGUACGGUGGAGGAGUAGGGUUGUACUGGGGUGGCUCUAGAUCUUUUCGCUGUAAGAGUGGAUAAAUUGUGGCAACGGUGGAGGGUCAUACAGCUCCUUCCUUUCCUCCUGGGUCUGUUGGGUAGAGAUG
rnacentral:lncRNA from 1 species